rnacentral:rRNA from 2 species
GACCUAGUAUACGCGUGGAUUUCGCGUGGUAGUGACCCCCUGUUUAACGACAGGCGUGUGUCGCACACGCGUACCUACGCACUGGUCUCAGAUAGCAACGAACGUGACCGUAUUCUAUUGUUGCAGUGAAAUGUGCCUUCGGGUACGACCCACUGCUUAGUAUAUGUACGCCUCGGCGCACAAUAUACAUUAAACUAUAGAGACCGCUGUUUCUUCUUUAAACCAGAGGAAGGAUACGGCAAUAACAGGUCUGUGAUGCCCUCAGAUGUUCCGGGCUGCACACGUGCUACAAUGAUCAUUGCACUGUGCAUCUAACCCAAUGUGCGCGGACGCCGCAUGCAUGUGCUCUUCACGGAGUACACGCAUUGCUGUUGCGACCGCGCCGAACCUACUUCGAAAGUAAAAUUUCUCAGUGGGUAAUCCAUUAGAAGUAAUGACUCGCAUAGACCAUGGCACAACUAAAUGUACGCGCAGGUUCUACCCGGCUCGCCUUUGUGUGAGUGCAGUGCGUAGCUUGUUGUUUCGUACGUGCCACUCCGUAUUAAUUCGUACGUGGGGAUAGAUCAUUGUUUAAUUGUUGGUCUCGGUCUUAACUAGGAAUACCUUGUACGGGUCUCUGGUUCAACAUACCACCCGGAAUACGUCCCUGCCCUUUGUACACACCGCCCGUCGCUCUUACCGAUGGAUUAUGCUAUGAAUCUAUAGGACUGCCAAAGCUUUUUUUGAGAGCUUAGUGGAAAUAUAUAUGAAUAGCGUGAUC